rnacentral:rRNA from 1 species
GGCAAUCAAGGGAGGCAGCAGGCGCGCAAAUUACCCAAUCCUGACAUGGGGAGGUAGUGACAAGAAAUACCAGUACGAGAUUUCGAUUUCGUAAUUGGGAUGAGAAGAACUUAAAACCAUUUUCGAGUAUCAAUUGGAGGGCAAGUCUGGUGCCAGCAGCCGCGGUAAUUCCAGCUCCAAUAGCGUAUAUUAAAGUUGUUGCGGUUAAAACGCUCGUAGUUGGAGUUCUGCCAAAAGUGGCCGGUCUACCCUCCGUGGUUUGCACAGGGCAACUUUCGGCAUCAUCCUGGGAAACUUGUAUGCACUUUACUGUGUGACCUUGGGAUCCAGGACUUUUACUUUGAAGAAAUGAGAGUGUUUCAAGCAGGCGAAUGCCUUGAAUACGUUAGCAUGGAAUAAUAGCAUCGGACCUCUUCCCAACGCUGUUGGUUCAUUGGAGUGAGGUAAUGAUAAACAGGGAUAGCUGGGGGCAUUCGUAUUUAACUGUCAGAGGUGAAAUUCUUGGAUUUGUUAAAGACGAACUACUGCGAAAGCAUCUGCCAAGGAUGUUCUCAUUGAUCAAGAACGAAAGUUAGGGGAUCGAAGACGAUCAGAUACCGUCCUAGUCUUAACCAUAAACUAUGCCGACUAGAGAUUGGGGGUAGUACAUUAUUUUGACUCCUCCAGCAUCUUGGGAGAAAUCAGAGUCUUUGGGUUCCGGGGGGAGUAUGGUCGCAAGGCUGAAACUUAAAGGAAUUGACGGAAGGGCACCACCAGGAGUGGAGCCUGCGGCUUAAUUUGACUCAACACGGGGAAACUUACCAGGUCCAGACAUAGUAAGGAUUGACAGACUGAAAGCUCUUUCUUGAUUCUAUGGGUGGUGGUGCAUGGCCGUUCUUAGUUGGUGGAGUGAUUUGUCAGGUUAAUUCCGUUAACGAACGAGACCUUAGCCUGUUAAAUAGUGUCCAGGACCAUUGGUUCUAGGUGAUCACUUCUUAGAGGGACUUCAUGGCUUUAACAUGAGGAAGUGUGAGGCAAUAACAGGUCUGUGAUGCCCUUAGAUGUCCUGGGCUGCACGCGCGCUACACUGAUGCGUUCAACAAGUAUAGAACCUUUUCUUGGAAGGAAUAGGUAAUCUUGUUAAAUCGCAUCGUGAUGGGGAUAGUUUAUUGCAAUUUUUAAUCUUCAACGAGGAAUUCCUAGUAACCGUGAGUCAUCAACUUGCGAUGACUACGUCCCCGCCCUUUGUACACACCGCCCGUCGCUCCUACCGAUUGAGAGUGCCGGUGAAUAAUUCGGACUGCGAUUUUUUCCGUCAGGAUAUUUGCAGGAAAUCUAGUAACCUUACAUUAGGG